AGAGUUUGAUCAUGGCUCAGAAUGAACGCUGGCGGCGUGCUUUACACAUGCAAGUCGAGCGAGGCGGCCCGCAAGGGUCAGUCGAGCGGCGAACGGGUGAGUAACGCGUGGAUGAUCUGCCCUGAGGUGGGGAACAACCAGGGGAAACUCUGGCUAAUACCGCAUGAUACCGAGAGGUCAAAGGGGGGCCGCAAGGUCUCUCGCCACAGGAGGAGUCCGCGUCCGAUUAGCUAGUUGGUAGGGUAAUGGCCUACCAAGGCGACGAUCGGUAGCCGGCCUGAGAGGGUGAUCGGCCACACUGGAACUGAGACACGGUCCAGACUCCUACAGGAGGCAGCAGUGGGGAAUUUUGCGCAAUGGGCUAACGCCUGACGCAGCAACGCCGCGUGGAGGAUGAAGGUCUUUGGAUUGUAAACUCCUGUCAGCGGGGAAAAAGCGACCGGUGCUCAUACCACCGGGAGUUGAUUGUACCCGCAGAGGAAGCCCCGGGCUACUCUGUGUCA
rnacentral:rRNA from 1 species